rnacentral:rRNA from 1 species
UACAGAGGGGGCAAGCGUUGUUAGGAAUUACUGGGCGUAAAGGGCGCGUAGGCGGCCCGCUAAGUCGAACGUGAAAUCCCCGAGCUCAACUCGGGAACUGCGUCCGAUACUGGCGGGCUUGAAUCCGGGAGAGGGAUGCGGAAUUCCAGGUGUAGCGGUGAAAUGCGUAGAUAUCUGGAGGAACACCGGUGGCGAAGGCGGCAUCCUGGACCGGCAUUGACGCUGAGGCGCGAAAGCUAGGGGAGCAAACGGG